AAAAAAAACCACCCUGUAUAUGGACGUCCAAUAGACCGCCAAGGGUGGUCAAUUUUUAACUAAAAUGGUCACUAAAAUAAGCUUUAUUUCAGACGUCCUUAUGUUCAUUAAAUGACGUCGCGUCUUAUUUGGAGAAUUUUUUUAUCUAACUUUAAAUGUCUCUUUAUAAUAAUUUUAAAUUUUUAGUAAUUUAUUUUUUAAUUGCCUGUCUGUCACAAUUGCAUUAGGAUGAAUGCUCCCAACACUCUAUAGUCAGGACACAAAAUUCAUUUAUUUCUUGUUUCCAAAAGCAAAAGCGAAAGGAAUAAACCAGGAAGACCAACAUGCUUUAUUUGAUAAUAUAAAAUACAAUCUUUAAAGAUUAGAUAAAUUACAAUCAAUCUCUAUGAUUAGAAAAAUUAAGAAUAAAUCUCGUCUGUCCCUCUGUCUAAGGUAAAAUUAAUGGUGUGAUUGUCUAUUAUGUCAUUCUAUAUGUACUUCUUGUCAAUUUGUUCGCGCCAAGUUUAUUGGAUUUUAGUUAGGUUAAAAACGCGGAACCCCGGCACUUUGGCGUGACUGGUAUUCCGAACUUGUACUUUGUACUUGUCUUGUUUCAUGUGAUUUGUUAAUGGGCUGUUAGUUCAUUAUUAUACGAAACUUUUAACACAAAGGUGGUACAGUUAGACGAACUAGCGGGCAGUACUCUGGAACUCUGGCAGAACUGGCGCACACCACUCAAGCACUCAAGCAAGAGGUACUGUGGCCUCCGAUUAAGGAGAGGAAAGCGUGUAGAAAGGCUCUUACUCACGGAGUCCAAGCUGACAGCAAUUGGAGGCCUUUUGGGCACCCACUAUUCUUACGGGUUCGUAGGAAUAGUAGUUUUUUUAUCUGUCCUCCGCUUUUUUAUAAUUAAUUUUGUGGCUGGUCAGAACUACUUUUAAUUAAUUAAAAUUGUAACCAUAUUUGCUUCCUUCCUGUCAAUAAAAUACGAUUUAAGAUUC